GAUGAACGCUGGCGGCGUGCCUAAUACAUGCAAGUCGAGCGAACGGACGAGAAGCUUGCUUCUCUGAUGUUAGCGGCGGACGGGUGAGUAACACGUGGAUAACCUACCUAUAAGACUGGGAUAACUUCGGGAAACCGGAGCUAAUACCGGAUAAUAUUUUGAACCGCAUGGUUCAAAAGUGAAAGACGGUCUUGCUGUCACUUAUAGAUGGAUCCGCGCUGCAUUAGCUAGUUGGUAAGGUAACGGCUUACCAAGGCAACGAUGCAUAGCCGACCUGAGAGGGUGAUCGGCCACACUGGAACUGAGACACGGUCCAGACUCCUACGGGAGGCAGCAGUAGGGAAUCUUCCGCAAUGGGCGAAAGCCUGACGGAGCAACGCCGCGUGAGUGAUGAAGGUCUUCGGAUCGUAAAACUCUGUUAUUAGGGAAGAACAUAUGUGUAAGUAACUGUGCACAUCUUGACGGUACCUAAUCAGAAAGCCACGGCUAACUACGUGCCAGCAGCCGCGGUAAUACGUAGGUGGCAAGCGUUAUCCGGAAUUAUUGGGCGUAAAGCGCGCGUAGGCGGUUUUUUAAGUCUGAUGUGAAAGCCCACGGCUCAACCGUGGAGGGUCAUUGGAAACUGGAAAACUUGAGUGCAGAAGAGGAAAGUGGAAUUCCAUGUGUAGCGGUGAAAUGCGCAGAGAUAUGGAGGAACACCAGUGGCGAAGGCGACUUUCUGGUCUGUAACUGACGCUGAUGUGCGAAAGCGUGGGGACCAAACAGGAUUAGAUACCCUGGUAGUCCACGCCGUAAACGAUGAGUGCUAAGUGUUAGGGGGUUUCCGCCCCUUAGUGCUGCAGCUAACGCAUUAAGCACUCCGCCUGGGGAGUACGACCGCAAGGUUGAAACUCAAAGGAAUUGACGGGGACCCGCACAAGCGGUGGAGCAUGUGGUUUAAUUCGAAGCAACGCGAAGAACCUUACCAAAUCUUGACAUCCUUUGACAACUCUAGAGAUAGAGCCUUCCCCUUCGGGGGACAAAGUGACAGGUGGUGCAUGGUUGUCGUCAGCUCGUGUCGUGAGAUGUUGGGUUAAGUCCCGCAACGAGCGCAACCCUUAAGCUUAGUUGCCAUCAUUAAGUUGGGCACUCUAAGUUGACUGCCGGUGACAAACCGGAGGAAGGUGGGGAUGACGUCAAAUCAUCAUGCCCCUUAUGAUUUGGGCUACACACGUGCUACAAUGGACAAUACAAAGGGCAGCGAAACCGCGAGGUCAAGCAAAUCCCAUAAAGUUGUUCUCAGUUCGGAUUGUAGUCUGCAACUCGACUACAUGAAGCUGGAAUCGCUAGUAAUCGUAGAUCAGCAUGCUACGGUGAAUACGUUCCCGGGUCU
rnacentral:rRNA from 1 species